rnacentral:rRNA from 1 species
GAUCAUGGCUCAGGACGAACGCUGGCGGCGUGCCUAAUACAUGCAAGUAGAACGCUGAAGGAGGAGCUUGCUUCUCUGGAUGAGUUGCGAACGGGUGAGUAACGCGUAGGUAACCUGCCUGGUAGCGGGGGGAUAACUAUUGGAAACGAUAGCUAAUACCGCAUAACAGUAGAUGUUGUCAUGACAUUUGUCUUAAAGUUAAGGUCGAUAGUCAUCNCUACCACAUAGACG